rnacentral:rRNA from 1 species
GAUGAACGCUAGCGGCAGGCCUAAUACAUGCAAGUCGGACGGGAUUGAGAAGCUUGCUUUUCAUGAGAGUGGCGCACGGGUGCGUAACACGUAUGUAACCUACCCAUAUCAGGGGGAUAGCCUCUCGAAAGAGAGAUUAAGACCGCAUAACAUUAUUGAAUGGCAUCAUUUAAUAAUCAAAUAUUUAUAGGAUAUGGAUGGGCAUGCGGAACAUUAGCUAGUUGGUAAGGUAACGGCUUACCAAGGCUACGAUGUUUAGGGGAUCUGAGAGGAUGACCGCCCACACGGGUACUGAGACACGGACCAGACUCCUACGGGAGGCAGCAGUAAGGAAUAUUGGUCAAUGGACGGAAGUUUGAACCAGCCAUGCCGCGUGCAGGAAGACGGCCCUAUGGGUUGUAAACUGCUUUUGCAGGGGAAUAAACCUCGAUACGUGUAUCGAGCUGAAUGUACUCUGAGAAUAAGGAUCGGCUAACUCCGUGCCAGCCGCCGCGGUAA